CAAUGGACGAAAGUCUGACGGAGCAACGCCGCGUGAGUGAUGAAGGUUUUCGGAUCGUAAAGCUCUGUUGUUAGGGAAGAACAAGUGCAAGAGUAACUGCUUGCACCUUGACGGUACCUAACCAGAAAGCCACGGCUAACUACGUGCCAGCAGCCGCGGUAAUACGUAGGUGGCAAGCGUUGUCCGGAAUUAUUGGGCGUAAAGGGCUCGCAGGCGGUUUCUUAAGUCUGAUGUGAAAGCCCCCGGCUCAACCGGGGAGGGUCAUUGGAAACUGGGAAACUUGAGUGCAGAAGAGGAGAGUGGAAUUCCACGUGUAGCGGUGAAAUGCGUAGAGAUGUGGAGGAACACCAGUGGCGAAGGCGACUCUCUGGUCUGUAACUGACGCUGAGGAGCGAAAGCGUGGGGAGCGAACAGGAUUAGAUACCCUGGUAGUCCACGCCGUAAACGAUGAGUGCUAAGUGUUAGGGGGUUUCCGCCCCUUAGUGCUGCAGCUAACGCAUUAAGCACUCCGCCUGGGGAGUACGGUCGCAAGACUGAAACUCAAAGGAAUUGACGGGGGCCCGCACAAGCGGUGGAGCAUGUGGUUUAAUUCGAAGCAACGCGAAGAACCUUACCAGGUCUUGACAUCCUCUGACAACCCUAGAGAUAGGGCUUUCCCUU
rnacentral:rRNA from 2 species